GACGAACGCUGGCGGCGUGCUUAACACAUGCAAGUCGAGCGGAGCGGCGAACGGGUGAGUAACGCGUGAGUAACUGCCCCCCUCUCUGGGAUAACAGUUGGAAAUGGCUGCUAAUACCGGAUAGUGUGGGAUGACUCGCGUCCGAUCAGCUUGUUGGUGGGGGAGUGGCCUACCAAGGCGACUACGGGUAGCCGGCCUGAGAGGGCGACCGGCCAGAUAGGGAGGAGUAACGGCACGAACUACCACGGGAGGCAGCAGUGGGGAAUGUUGCACAAGGGGGGAGACCCUGAUGCAGCAACGCGCGUGCGGGAGGACGGCCUGCGGGUUGUAAGCCGCUUUCAGCCAUGACGCGGUAGUGGCAGAAGAAGCACCGGCUAACUACGUGCCAGCAGCCGCGGUAAUAC
rnacentral:rRNA from 1 species